rnacentral:rRNA from 1 species
AGAGACAGCAGUAGCCGCGGUAACACGUAGGUGGCAAGCGUUGUCCGGAAUUAUUGGGCGUAAAGGGCUCGCAGGCGGUUUCUUAAGUCUGAUGUGAAAGCCCCCGGCUCAACCGGGGAGGGUCAUUGGAAACUGGGAAACUUGAGUGCAGAAGAGGAGAGUGGAAUUCCACGUGUAGCGGUGAAAUGCGUAGAGAUGUGGAGGAACACCAGUGGCGAAGGCGACUCUCUGGUCUGUAACUGACGCUGAGGAGCGAAAGCGUGGGGAGCGAACAGGAUUAGAUACCCGCGUAGUCCCUGUCUCUUAUAC